GGACAGGUGCCAGAGUGGCCGAUUGGGCACGCCUGGAGAGCGUGUGUCCGCCUAAAAAGCGGACCGUGGGUUCGAAUCCCACCCUGUCCG
rnacentral:tRNA from 1 species